GGCUCUUCUCCCGCGGCCACCUCAUGGCCUCGGGGCAGUGCUGCCGGGCGGCAGAACCUUUCACCCUCCUGUGUGCACCAAGUGAGGCUGUGGCACCCAGCCCCUCCUCAGAAAGUCAAAGUCUUGGUGGGCAACCGGCUUGGCAGGGCAGUGCUGAGGGGAAGCUUGAUGGCAGUCACGGCAGGACGGGGGAGCUGCUCCCCGCAGCCGCCUCGGGUGACACGGGAAAGCUUUUGAGGAUCCUCAGUGCUCUCUCUCCCUUGAUGUGGAGUUACCAUCCCAGAUGCAGUUCCAUUCACCUGCUUGGCACACCAAAACUGACAAAAUCAAUAUAGAUGCCCAAGCACACCCCCAGCUCUAUCCUCCUUAAAUCCCUCCACAUCACUGAUGUCUCACCGUGCCUUGUCCCACUCUGGCAUUUCCCAAUGGAGUUCCAUGUUGUGUCUCCAUUACACCUGCAGAUUAGCUCACAGGAUAAGGUGUUUGGCUCACAGGAGAAGGCUGCAGGCCAGUCCAUAGCGUGAUCCCAAACCCAGGUAAGGACAGAGUUUCCCUUACUUUUCCCUCAUUUUGGGGUAAACAGCUCCACAAGCAGGGCAUUCUCUCCUCUACCCUUGAGCUCUGUAAAAAUAGGAAUUUACUGUAAUUACAGUCCUCCAAUGUUUCAUGAAACAUGUUUAAGACUAGUAAGAUAAGUCACAAAUGAUUGUGAAGGGGAGAAAGGCAGGGGAUGGCAGGCAAGUACAAAGAUGGAAUGAAUGCAGGAGCCUGCUUUCCUUAGAAUCCAAUUCAUAAUUCAGUAGAUAAAUAGUCAACAACAACAUGUUUGCAUGUCUCUCCCUGUGACUGCCUGAUAGUGAUCUGGUAUGCUGAAAGUUAAGGAAAAGGCCUUGAAUGAAAUACCAGCUUGUUUAUACAAAAGAUAAGGAAAACUGACUUCUGCCUGUAUUUUCUUCCUACCUAUCAUGUCUAAUGUGAAGUAACCUUGAAGACUUAUCUAAGAAUUUGUUAUAUA
rnacentral:lncRNA from 1 species